rnacentral:lncRNA from 1 species
CGGCAGAACAGCUGACACCACCAACUUUAAAGAGCCCAACUGAUGAACUGAUCAGCAUGAGAAUACUGUUUUUUCAUCUCUCUGUCCCAUGACUUCACUCUGCAUUCUUCAACCAAUUAGUGAUCUCUUAUUUCCACCUACUCCAAAUCCUUAAAAACAACAGCCUCAAACUCUUUGAGGAAAUGGAUUUGAGGUUUCCUUCCAUCUUUUGGUUCAGCAGCCCUGCAAUUAAACCUCUUUCUCUGCUGCAACCCAGUGUCUUGGCAUAUUGACAUGCUGUGCACAUCAGGCAAAAGACCUAUUACCAUUACAUGAGGACCCCUCCGGAGGGAGAUAAUGGUGGGGGCAUUUCUGGGAGGCUCUGCUUUAGUCAGGGUGCACGUGUUGCCGCAGGAAUCGCUGGUACAUGCCAUCCUGGCCAUAGGAGGGCUGGACCAGCCCCAGCCCCAGCAGGGUCAGCAGCAAAAGCAGAAGCAAUGAAUGGGUCCUCUGCAGAGCCAUCAGUAUCUUAGAGGUGCCUAGAAAAGAAAGCAAGGGGCAGGAGAAAUAAGAGAGAAGUUGCUGUGGCCAGUACAAUGACACAGGGCAGGGACUGACUGCGUGGCUGCCAGGUUUGUGUGGACAGAGUAUAAAAAGAGAGAAAAGGGUGAGGUCAGGCCCCGUCUCCUCAUGAUGCUUUCACAGUAUCUGUCAUCCCGGCCCUGUGGUUUGGCAUCAUAGUGCUGGGUCAGGAAGUGUGUGUACCUGGAGUUAUCCUGAGCCAGGGUCGGUGGGGUCAGACCCAGACCCAGCACGAAGACCAACAACAAAACGCCCAGGCCCAUCACCAUCUCUUCCAACACAGGCUCCUGCGGAGGGCAAAAGGAGGUGUGGUAGACCCAAGAACAGCAUCACCAAAUUAGGCCAAAAGGACAG